ensembl:lncRNA
UAGUGCGUAUGUAAUAUACACUAAUUCAUCUUGAUAUAAACUGUAUUUAUGUGGAAUAACUCUUGCUUGAUUUGUAGCUCAUUCUGUGACUUGGAGAACUAACUCAUCCAUGUUUACAGUUUAACCAACUACCUCUUCCUUAAUUCUGAUUCUCCAAGGUAGAUCAUAAAACAGAUUUCAUUCCUAAAGCAUAAAUACCUACUAAGUAUUCCUGUGUAUCUGGUAAAGAAGCUCUCCCCCAUGGUAUUAUUUAUCUUACUUCUGCUCUUCUCCUGUGGAAUAUUAUUUAUAUUUUCUUUGCUUUCUUAAUUGUGAGUAGACAAAGGGUGGAAAAAUAAUCAUCUGAUUGUUACAGAACCAGGGUGGCUGGCUGGCUGAGUUAGGGAUUCUGGCUUUUAAAGUGAGAUUUGAACAGGAAAUGCUCAUCAAGGGAGAGAGUUUGCAGCAAGGCUGUGUUUUUAAUGUUCCCCGAGCACAUCUCCAAGACUGCAAAUGUAACUGGAAAUACUGAACAUACAAAACAGUGAUGCCUCAUAGGCACCAAUAUUUCUUUUGGGAGUCCUCAGUGGAGAUUAUGAUACCUUGUGAACAGGAAUGGAUGGAAGCAGGGGAGAGAAAGAUGUUCAUGAGUACUUGGCCAGAAAUGAUAGUGCAUGUCAACCCUCUUGGGGCAUCAAAAACUAAGACACAUUCAAGAAUGCACUGUUCUUUAUAUUUAUGCAAAGGAGAAACCAGAGUCACCCUCAGUUAAGUCUGUGAAGAUAAUGAGAUGCUUCGGUGAAAGAAUACAUUGGUGUGAGAAUGAUGCAACUUAACUCAUCACUCAGGACCCAGCCCUGGCGUCAGCUUCACAGAAUUGGAGAAACCAUGACCUGGCCACCAGUAGGCUAACCAAUCCCAAAUAAUUUACAAAAUUGUAUGACCUGUACCAAUCUGUACAGGACCUGAAUUUCAAGUAGAAUUUAGUCCAUCCAACUCACGAAGCUGCCCUCUUCACAUCUGCUAUAUGGAUCAAAUUGAGAACAGGAAAGAAUUCUUUAAACCUUUCCCUAGAAACUGAUCUUUCAAGCUUUUGGGUGGUUGAUAUCAAGAGAGGCAUUUGCCUUCUCUCUGGGAUUAUUGGUCUUUUAUGUUUAAUGGAUGUCAUUUCAGGAGCCAUCAGGUCAAUUAAUCUCAUCACCGAGGAUCAUCUUACAGGCUCAUAAAUAUUAAAAUCACACAUGACGACUGAAGGCUUACUCUCUAUAUGGUCAAAUGAUGGAUACUUAGUCACAUUUUGAAACAACCGGACACCUAGUACUUGCCUACUUAGAGGUUUAAUUGUGUUUUGCGGAUUAUAGAAAAAACCAAAUGAUAUGAUAAGACAUAGGCUACUAGUGUUUCUUUAAAGUUCACAUGGUAAUUUCCAUUAUUUUUUAUUGAAGACUGCUGACUGGAAAGAAUGAAUUCGUGACAGGGGAGGGGUGGAGAAAAAGUGAUGGGGCAACAGAUGGAUGGGCUGGAAAGAACACAGCCAGGACUGUGUGGCGACAGGGCGGCCACAGAACAGGAAGCAGCUUGAGUGGAAGAUGUCACACAGACCAGCUUCUAACAUUUACUGAGGCAGGAGGACAAAGACACCCAUAUCACACCCUGGAUCUAAAUACUUAAAGGUGAUAAAUGAGGCCAAGACAUUUUCAGAAUUUAUGCUCUAUCCUCCCUCCUUGAAAAAUAUACCUUUAUAAGAGAAAAACACAUAAAGCUAAGAUGUCUGAAUUUUAUUAUUUUUACUCAUAUCUGGGUGUUCUGUUUAUGGGAUAGCAGUGUUUGGAUGAGAAAGAAAAUAGAAAUAUGCCUAAAGUAAAUUAUUAAAUAUUUAUGCAAUAUGUUUUAUUUUAUGCCUGUAUUUUAGAAAUAUCCCUAAUUACAUUGUUACCAAGAUGUUGACUUAAUUUAACAGAAAUAAACUGGAGGAUUAAAGUAGAAUGUGAUUAUAU